GAUGAAGAAGUAGCGAAAUGCGAUAAGUAGUGUGAAUUGCAGAAUUCAGUGAAUCAUCGAAUCUUUGAACGCACAUUGCGCCCCUUGGUAUCCCGAGGGGCAUGCCUGUUCGAGCGUCAUUUCACCACUCAAGCCUGGCUUGGUGUUGGGCGACGUCCUCUUUGGGGACGCGCCUCGAAACGCUCGGCGGCGUGGCACCGGCUUUAAGCGUAGCAGAAUCUUUCGCUUUGGAAGUCGGGGCCCCGUCUGCCGGAAGACCUGCUCGCAAGGUUGACCUCGGAUCAGGCAGGGAUACCCGCUGAACUUAAGCAUAUCAAUAAGCGGAGGA
rnacentral:misc_RNA from 1 species